GUGAGGCGAACCCGGAGAACUGAAACAUCUCAGUACCCGGAGGAAAGGACAUCAACCGAGACUCCCGUAGUAGUGGCGAGCGAACCGGGACCAGGCCAGUGCUGUCGUGACAUAAAGCUGAAGGAUCUGGGAAGGUCCGCCAUAGUGGGUGAUAGCCCCGUAAGCGUCAAAUAGCGACAGACUCGAGUAGGGCGGGACACGUGAAAUCCUGUCUGAACAUGGGGGGACCACCCUCCAAGCCUAAGUACUCCUCAAUGACCGAUAGCGAACAAGUACCGUGAGGGAAAGGCGAAAAGAACCCCGGCGAGGGGAGUGAAACAGAACCUGAAACCGUGUACGUACAAGCAGUGGGAGCCUUCUUUAUGGGGGUGACUGCGUACCUUUUGUAUAAUGGGUCAGCGACUUAUAUUCUGUAGCAAGGUUAACCGUAUAGGGGAGCCGCAGGGAAACCGAGUCUUAACUGGGCGUUAAGUUGCAGGGUAUAGACCCGAAACCCGGUGAUCUAGCCAUGGGCAGGUUGAAGGUUGGGUAACACUAACUGGAGGACCGAACCGACUAAUGUUGAAAAAUUAGCGGAUGACUUGUGGCUGGGGGUGAAAGGCCAAUCAAACCGGGAGAUAGCUGGUUCUCCCCGAAAGCUAUUUAGGUAGCGCCUCGUGAACUCAUCUUCGGGGGUAGAGCACUGUUUCGGCUAGGGGGCCAUCCCGGCUUACCAACCCGAUGCAAACUGCGAAUACCGAAGAAUGUUAUCACGGGAGACACACGGCGGGUGCUAACGUCCGUCGUGAAGAGGGAAACAACCCAGACCGCCAGCUAAGGCCCCAAAAUCAUAGUUAAGUGGGAAACGAUGUGGGAAGGCUUAGACAGCUAGGAGGUUGGCUUAGAAGCAGCCACCCUUUAAAGAAAGCGUAAUAGCUCACUAGUCGAGUCGGCCUGCGCGGAAGAUGUAACGGGGCUAAAACUAUGUGCCGAAGCUGCGGAUGCACAUUUAUGUGCGUGGUAGGGGAGCGUUGUGUAAGCCUGUGAAGGUGUGUUGAGAAGCAUGCUGGAGGUAUCACAAGUGCGAAUGCUGACGUGAGUAACGAUAAAACGGGUGAAAAACCCGUUCGCCGAAAGACCAAGGGUUCCAGUCCAACGUUAAUCGGGGCUGGGUGAGUCGGUCCCUAAGGUGAGGCAGAAAUGCGUAAUCGAUGGGAAAUUGGUUAAUAUUCCAAUACUUCUAUAUCAUGCGAUGAGGGGACGGAGAAGGUUAAGUCAGCCUGGCGUUGGUUGUCCAGGUGGAAGACGGUAGGCAUGCAUCUUAGGCAAAUCCGGGGUGCUCUAUGCUGAGAGUCGAUAGCAAGCUGUACUUGUACAGCGAAGUGGCUGAUACCAAGCUUCCAGGAAAAGCCUCUAAGCUUCAGUGAUAUAGGAACCGUACCCGAAACCGACACAGGUGGUCAGGUCGAGUAGACCAAGGCGCUUGAGAGAACUCUGCUGAAGGAACUAGGCAAAAUAGUACCGUAACUUCGGGAGAAGGUACGCUGUUGCCGGUGCGAAGAUUUACUCUUCAAGCUGGUGGCAGCCUCAGUAACCAGGCCGCUGCAACUGUUUAUUAAAAACAUAGCACUCUGCAAACACGAAAGUGGACGUAUAGGGUGUGACGCCUGCCCGGUGCUGGAAGGUUAAUUGAUGGGGUUAGCGUAAGCGAAGCUCUUGAUCGAAGCCCCAGUAAACGGCGGCCGUAACGAUAACGGUCCUAAGGUAGCGAAAUUCCUUGUCGGGUAAGUUCCGACCUGCACGAAUGGCGUAACGAUGGCCACACUGUCUCAGCCAUGAGCUCGGUGAAAUUGUAGUAACGGUGAAGAUGCCGUUUACCCGCAGUGGGACGAAAAGACCCUGUGCACCUUUACUAUAGCUUAGUAUUGACCUUGGAUAAAUGAUGUGUAGGAUAGGUUGGAGACUAUGAAGCGGCGUCGCCAGGCGUUGUGGAGUCAUUGUUGAAAUACAACCCUUUGUUUAUCUGAGGCCUAACUCUUCGAUGAAGAGGACAGUGUAUGGUGGGUAGUUUGACUGGGGUGGUCGCCUCCCAAAGCGUAACGGAGGAGUUCGAAGGUACGCUAGUUACGCUUGGUAACCGUGACGAUAGUGCAUUGGCAUAAGCGUGCUUGACUGCGAGACUGACAAGUCGAUCAGGUACGAAAGUAGGACAAAGUGAUCCGGUGGUUCUGUAUGGAAGGGCCAUCGCUCAAAGGAUAAAAGGUACGCUGGGGAUAACAGGCUGAUCUCCCCCAAGAGCUCACAUCGACGGGGAGGUUUGGCACCUCGAUGUCGGCUCGUCACAUCCUGGGGCUGGAGAAGGUCCCAAGGGUUAGGCUGUUCGCCUAUUAAAGUGGCACGCGAGCUGGGUUCAGAACGUCGUGAGACAGUUCGGUCCCUAUCCGUCGCGGGCGUUGGAAAUUUGAGAGGAGCUGUCCUUAGUACGAGAGGACCGGGAUGGACGCACCGCUGGUGUACCAGUUGUUCCGCCAGGAGCAUCGCUGGGUAGCUAUGUGCGGAAGGGAUAAGCGCUGAAAGCAUCUAAGUGCGAAGCCCCCCUCAAGAUGAGAUUUCCUUUGCGUAAGCAGUAAGACACCUCAGAGACGAUGAGGUAGAUAGGCUGGGAGUGGAAGUCCUGUGAAGGAUGGAGCGGACCAGUACUAAUCAGUCGAGG
rnacentral:rRNA from 1 species